rnacentral:lncRNA from 1 species
UUAACUGAAGAUUUUCACCCCUUCUAUUAUCAUGCUAUCUUUUCAUAACUUCUUAUCUUUAUUUGAAAUUAUUAUUACCUCUCCUGUAAUUUGCUUAGUCAUAAUUGAGGUUAUGAUUAUCUUUCCGCUACUUAUCCUUAAUUGACUUUGUUGUUUAUUCUUCGUAAUUGCCCAAUCUUACAAGAAGUUUAGAUAUUCUAUAUCUUAGUUGACAUGUCCUUAUUUGGAAUUGGUUGGCUCGUGUUAACUCCCUUGUUGUUGAAGUUGAACUGUAUAUUGUGGGAUCGUUGUUACAUAUUAUUUUCUCCCUUAUUGAGGUGUUCUUAUUACGUCUAGUAUUCUCUAUUGUGGUUAUUCCUUAUGGACUAGUUCUACCAUUUCUCUGUGAUUGAAAGUUCUUGAGUUGAUUUACUUGCCGUACUCUUGUAUUUAUUGUCAUUCUUGUUGUUGUACUUCUUGUUGUGAUGCACGAGUUUUCUGCCGUACGGUUAUUAUUGUGAUGCACGAGGUAUUUGCUUCACAAUGGUUGUUAUUGUGAUGCAUGAGGUUUCUGCCGUGCGAAUAUUUUUGGAGUGCACAAGGUUUUUGUCGUGUUAUUGUUACUUGCACAUGCAACGUGAUAAGGCGGGAUAUAUAUGUGGGUUGUGCAUGUGGCGAGACAAGGUGGGAAUAUUUUUAUGCACGUGUGGCGAGACAAGGCGGACACUUACUUUAUUAUUGCAUACAUGGCAAGACAUGGUGAGAACAUUAUUAUGCACGUGUAGCGAGACAAGGAAGUACUUACUUUAUUAAUGCACACGUGGCGAGACAAUAUGAGAUGCGUCAAGGAAUGAUUUGUAAUGACCUGGGGACAUUAUUGUUGUUGAUAUUUGUGUAGUGGUGCACUUACCUAUGUGAGUUCUAUUUCAUGGAAAAUAGUAGAAAAACAUUCUACGCGAUGUCAGUUUCUUUUUUUCUAUAAUUACUAGCUGGCAUGAACUAUGUUAAGACACAUACACAAGCAUACACGUAGUUAAGCACUCUUAUCGGUUAAUAGGAUUCUUGAAAUUAUUGAGUAUUAAAUUGUAAUGAGACCACAUGAUGCCAAGUAUUAGGGUUUAGGAAUUGGGAUUCGCGAGUGGGGAAUAUUCUGAGGUUCGGUACUUCGUGGAGUUUAUUGGCUAACACAUGAUGUGAAAACUGUCGUUUUUGGUUAAGUUGUUACUUGUCUUUCCUUAUUCUGUGAUCAUCGGAUUUAAACUGUGUUCUGUUUAUUCUACUGUGUUAUUAUUAUGGUAUUUUUUUUGCUAGAUGUUUUCUUUUCUUACUGGGAAUUUCUGUAUCAUUUUGUCAUUCUACGUAACCGUUAUAUAGAUAUCGUAGUAUGUUGUUUCUACCCUCAUACUUGUUCAGGUUAUUUAGUCCAUUAGGUAGCUUGGCUGGUCACUGAUGUUAGUAUUGAUACUUGCUGGGUACUGUUGUGGCGUACUCAUACUAUACUUUUGCACAUUUUUGUGGAGAUCCAGGUAUUGCAGAGUAAGUCGAUCGUUAGCUAGCUGUGCAGAUAUUGUGGUAGAGACUCAAGGUAAACCCACUGUUGUGUUCGCAGGCUUCGGAGUCGCCUUCUUAUUUUGUAUUUACGUUGUUCACUCUUAUUUCGAGACAGUUGUAUUUUAG